rnacentral:misc_RNA from 1 species
CUCCAACGCUCUUCUUUCAUAUAAAGCCCAAUCUACUAAGCUUCGAAUCUCAGCUGCCAUGGAACAAGCAGAAGUUAAAAACGAGCAAUCUCUAUUAGCACUGUUAGAAGCUCUGAGAAAUGCUUCUAAAGAUCUUCAAACCAACUCCAUCUUUAUCACCCACAAUCCCCAACCUGCCAUGGAAGCUCUCUUGGACCUAUAUGGUGAAGCAGGCACCGUAUUCUCUACUUUCCCAGAUCUUUCCAAACUUUCUCAAUUGUUAUGCAGCCUCAAAACCCUACUCCAAAAGCAUAAAACGUACCAAGAUAAUAGCCUUAAAUCUCUCCUUCGCCGCCAAAUCACUAACUACAGAAUCUACCAAGUGGCAAUCGCAAUCGAGGCUGAAGUUCAGGCUUGUAUUGAUCGAGAUUGUGUUCAAAAUCUUGUCAGGAUAAGUCGAGAAACAAGUUCUGAAGAAGAGAAAUUGAGGGUUUUAAAGGAGUUUGAGAAGCGUUUAUCGCAGGGUUUUGAUAGUGAUUUUCAAGAAUUGAUUCUGAAAGCCAAAGGAUUCUCAAUUCUCGAAUCAUUACUCUGCGACUCAACUUGCUCGAAGCGACUUCGAGAACAAGCAGGUCUUUGUAUAGUUGCUUUAGUUAGAUUCAACAGGAAUGUAUUUGUGGGGUUGGUUCUAAUGGGUCCAAUAGUUCAAUCCUUAAUAUCAAUGGCUUCCGCUUGUUCAAUGCAAGUCUUCUGUUCACUUAUCAGACUGAUCAAGACUCCACUAGUUGAUGAAAUCGAAACGGACGGAGAAAUCCCAAGAAUUUUAAACCUACUUAGCUUCGAAGAUUUGUCAAUUCAAGCUGCAGCUCUGGAUUGCAUUUGCGAAAUCGCUUUCUCUGGGAGGAAAGAAGUGAUCGAAGCUAUGAUAGAACAUAGGCUGAUUGAGAAGUUAGUGGAAUUGCAGAGAUCCAUACACGGCGACAACUUGAUCAAUGCAGAUAAAGAAAAUGGAAAUGGAAAUGGAAUAAUUUGCGAAGAAGGUGUUGAAUUGGGUGCGAAAAUGGGAUGUGAAGAGGGGAAAAUUUCACAGAAUCGGCCAUUUGCAAGUUGUGUAGUGAGGUUUGCAGUGCAAAUUGAAGUGGGAGAAGGGUUGAGUCAUAAAGAAAGACAAGAGUUUAAAAGGGAAAUAUUGAGAAGGGUCAGAGAGGCCUCUGUUUCUGAAGCAGAGGCUGUCUCCAUUGUUGCAGAGGUACUAUGGGGAUCUUCUCCUUGAAAAUUAUAUUUACCUAACUAUAGUUUUUUUGACCCUUUAUUUUAGAGAACAAAAAGAGUUUGGUGUAAUUGUAUUUGUAUGAAUACUUGACCAGAAACAUUUAUUGGGAUCUUGAUUUUCAGUUCUGAAAAA